rnacentral:rRNA from 1 species
CAUAGUACAAGACGCGACGCACAACAGCUAUGUUGGCUUUAGUUCGGAUUUGAAAAAAGACUAGAACAGCAUAAUGCAGGCGUCGGAGCCAAGCGUACACGCAAAGGCGGAUGGCGAUUGGCGUACUAUGAAGCGUUUAUGAACGAAAGCGAAGCCCGAACGCGUGAACGGCGAUUGAAGCAGGACGGACGGGCCAAGCAUCAGUUGUUCAAGCGAAUCGAGAAGUCUCUUGCUGGCCAAAAAUAGGUGCGGGGGGUUGUGGGCGUCGAUCAGGAGUUACAAAGGCACCACCAGUCGAACGGUCUGGAAAGUCCGACCAUAGAAGGUGAUAGUCCUGUAGGCGACGGUGUGUGCCCUCCGUUACGGUCGACGUACCAGAGUAGCACGGAGCUCGUGGAACUCCGUGUGAAGCAGGGGGGACCACCCUCCAAGGCUAAGUACUCCUCGGCAACCGAUAGUGAAGUAGUAGAGCGAUCGAACGAUGAAAACAACCCCUACUAGGGGAGUGAAAAGGAGCUGAAACCAUACACCUACAAGCUGUGGGAGCCCUAUGGCGGGUCUUCGGGCCCGCAACGGGUGACCGCGUGCCUUUCGCAUAAUGAGCCGGCGAGUUACUCUUUGUGGCAAGGUUAAGCACUUCAGGUGCGGAGCCGUAGCGAAAGCGAGUCUGAACAGGGCGAUCCAGUCGCAGGGAGUAGACGCGAAACCAGGUGAUCUACCCAUGGCCAGGUGGAAGGGGAUGUAAUAAUCCCUGGACGACCGAACCCACUAACGUUGAAAAGUUAGGGGAUGAGCUGUGGGGAGGAGUAAAAGUCUAAUCAAACCUGGAGAUAUCUCGUUCUCUCCGAAAUAGCUUUAGGGCUAGCCUCGGGAUUUUGCGAUGCGGGGGUAGAGCUACUGAUUGGGGAUGGGGGGCUACCCGCCUACCCACUCCUACCAAACUCCGAAUACCGUAUCGUGGACCCCGGGAGUCAAACCGCGGGUGAUAACAUUCGUGGUUAAGAGGGAAACAACCCAGACCGUCGGCUAAGGCCCCGAAUUCCUGCUGAGUUACUAAGGAAGUCUGACUGCCGUGACAAUCAGGAUGUUGGCUUAGAAGCAGCCACCAUUUAAAAAGUGCGUAAUAGCUUACUGAUCGAGCAGUUGGGUGCCGAUAAUGACCGGGAAUAAGCAGGAAGCCGAAGCCGCGGCUCAACACGUACUUCCAUCCUGUCUCGCCCACGGCGCGGUGCGCGCGGUCGGCGGGAUGCGAUGGAGGUACGGGUUGGGGGUAGGAGAGCGUAGCCGUCAGCGGCGAAGCGGUACGGAAACGAGCCGUGGAGCGGCGGCUAGUGAUUAUGCCGGCAUGAGUAACGAUAAAGCAGGUGAGAAUCCUGCUCGCCGAAAGCCUAAGGUUUCCUGGGGAAGGGAAAUCCGCCCAGGGUUAGUCGGCCCCUUAGUCGAGGCUGAAAGGCGUAGACGAUGGACAGCAGGUUAAUAUUCCUGCACCAUGUGGGGAAGGUUUGGACCGGGGGAGUGACGCAGUGACAAAGGUUGGAAGCUGAUUAGUCGUGGCUAUUGUGCCGGAGGUCCCGCGGGUAGGCAAAUCCGCCCGCAUUCAGGGAUCGAAGGACCGCGAGGGGCAAUUAUGAUCCCCGAGCAACCAGCGUUGCUGCCGAGAAAAGCUUCAACCGGGACGACUCCGCGUGACCGUACUAAAACCGACACAGGUAGGUGAGGAGAAUAUCCUCAGGCGCUCGAGAGAACCGUCCUUAAGGAACUCGGCAAUUUGACCCCGUAAGUUCGCGAUAAGGGGGCCCUCCAGCACCAUCUAUUCCAAUAGGGGGUGGCUGAGGGCGCAGGAAAGUGGCUCUGGCGACUGUUUACCAAAAACACAGUUCUCUGCUAACACGUACAGUGGACGUAUAGAGAAUGACGCCUGCUCGGUGCCGGAAGGUUAAAGGGAUGGGUCAUUGUCUCUUCGGAGAUGAGAAGCUCCUAACUGAAGCCCCGGUAAACGGCGGCCGUAACUAUGACGGUCCUAAGGUAGCGAAGUUCCUUGUCGGGU